rnacentral:snRNA from 1 species
AUCGCUUCUCGGCCUUUUGGCUAAGAUCAAGUGUUGUAUCUGUUCUUAUCAGUUUAAUAUAUGAUACAUCCUGUAUCUGAGGAUAAUAUAUUAAAUGGAUUUUUGGAGGUCAGAGUUGGAAUAGGAGCUUGCUCCAUCCACUCCACACAUUGACCUGGUAUUGCAGUCCCUCUAGGAAUGGUGCACCCCCU